CACAUGGUUGCCCACAAAAGCACCUCCAUGGUAUGCUUGCCUAUCGAUUCCAUUGCGCUGGAAAACUGGCUCGAUGCUUGCUCAACAUGGCCCCUCACACUUUUUGUUCUGUUUUAUUGCGGCCAUUUGGUCGGUGAGUGACUGUCUCCACGCAAGCAAUACAGUACGGCGUGCAUCACCAUUCUUCCACUGGUCUUGUAGGUGUUGUGUCACGCUCUCCACUGUGGCAGCAGGUAUCAAGCUGAGAAAAGAGAACAGUGUAUUGGACUUGCUGCUGCACUACAUGUAGUUGUUGGGUAACUGCAGAAAUCUCCUCAUCCGUUUUGCUGGCUUCAUGCAGUGACGAAAGCUUUUCAAAGCUGCCAGCAUCACCAGCUACUGCUGUAGCAGCAAUGGCUGCAAGGAUGACAGUGGCAGCAGGAACGCCUGCAGGAGCGACAGUGGCUGCAGGAGCAGCUGCAGGGACGGCAGUGGCAGCAAGGACGGCAGUGGCAGCAGGAACGGCUGCAAGGACGGCUGCAGGGACGGCAGCAGGAACGACUGCAGGGACGGCUGCAGGGAUGGCAGUGGCAGCAGGAACGGCGGCAGUGGCAGCAGGAACGACGGCAGUGGCAGCAGAAACAGCGGCGGUGUCUGCUGUAGUAGCAACGGCGGCAGGAACGGCGGUGUCUGCAGCAGCUGUUCUUCUGGCAAGCUCAAUGUCGAGGGCUUUGAGCUCAGCCUGAAAAGCAGUCAGCAUCCAUGGGAAAAUACCCAGAUCCAGAUGAAGAGCCGGGAUUACAACAUUCUCCUCGGGAAUAGAUCUCUGACCUCGUCACGAUAGACUCCUAGCGCGGUUUCAAGGUUCGAUGGCGUGUCUUGUGCCUCGAAGAUGCAAAUCGGGAUAGUGUUGAGGAGUGAAUUCGGCCGCUGCACAUUCACGAUCU